UCAGCGCUUGGCUCCCGGGGCCCCAGGGAUCCCGGGCAGCCGCGCGCCGGAUCCCAGGCUCAAUGCCAGCGGGUGUGUCCACGGUCGGUCCGCCGCCCCCGCCCCCUGCGAUGAUUCCUGGCUCUCCCGGCUCCGUGGCCGCGCCGGAUAGACUCACGGCGCGUGGCCGGGCUGCUGGGCCAUGGCCUCCGGGUUCCGAGAGCCCAGGCUUCAAGGAUCCGGACAGAAGAGAGCUUCCCUGCUGCUGUCAACACCUGAGGAAACUGGUGGAAAAGUUUGAGAAAGAAAAGUCCAAUCUUCUCUCAGCACCCGCCCUCCCUAUGACACUCCAGCCUCGAGAAGCAGUAGGGAAUGUCCACAUCUCCGAAAGACCACCGCAAGCCACGCCAGUCUUGUCUUCUUGCAUCUGCUCUGACUCCAGAGCUUAUGCGAACUUUCCUGGUUUCACAGACCUCCCUGGGUUGCUCAGAUCCCACAGGCCUGCUUUGACACUUCAGCUGCAGCCAACCCUCCCAAGGUCCAUACUGACUUGAGUCUUCCCCUUUUCCUAUGCACGCUGGCUGUCUACGUAGACCCUAACUGGAACACUAAGAGGAAACUUUGGCUGGAGACCUGUGGCUACCUGGUGUGGGUGUGAGCUUUUUCAUCUCUCCAGAACACCUUCUUUUCUGUGCCUGUCUUCCUUGGGUUGCUAACUCUGCAGGAUGAAGUAUCUCUAUCACCUUGUAAUAGUAUAUGGAGGACGGUGUACGGAGAGAGAGUCCGCCUAGGCUUGGGCUGCUGGUGUCUGCAUUCUUGUGCUUCUCCAGUCAGCAUGAGAUAAUCUGGAUAAGUCAGAGUUGCAGAAGGAAAAGACUCAAGCAAUGGACCCAACUCAAGUUCAAGCCGGUGGGGCCAACCCCAGAAACCCUGCCAACUCAUAAAUGAAAAGAAAGUCUUGCUAUACAGAUAUCUCCAUUCCCUACUGACUGAACUCAACAGAACAGAAGCAAGGGAGUCCCUUACCUAAUCCAUGGAAGCCAGCCUCCUGCAGAGUGAAUAGUGAACAAAGGACAUGGAGGCUCACUUGCCAAAGCAAAAGUUACUCUGAGAGAAAACAUUCUCCAGCAUUUUGAUCACACCGAUAAACAGCCUGGACUACUCCAUAUUUGCCUAAUACAUGAUUUGUAAGGACUUGAAGUCAAGAUUCAAGAGUUAAGAUGCACUUUGG